rnacentral:ncRNA from 2 species
AAGAGCCGGAUGAGUCGAGAGACUCAUGUCCGGAUCUGUGAGAGCCUGGGGGUGAGAUCCCUUCGGGCUACUCGAC